CUUGCCAGGGAACUACAAGCCCCAGCUUAAAACCCAAAGGACUUGGCGGUGCUUUAGACCCACCUAGAGGAGCCUGUUCUAGAACCGAUAACCCCCGUUAAACCUCACCCUCUCUUGUUUUUCCCGCCUAUAUACCGCCGUCGUCAGCUUACCCUGUGAAGGGCACAUAGUGAGCAUAAUUGGUACAACCUAAAACGUCAGGUCGAGGUGUAGCGUACGAGAGGGGAAGAAAUGGGCUACAUUUACUGGACCAGUAAACACGGAUAGUGCCUUGAAACAGGCAUUUUAAGGAGGAUUUAGCAGUAAGAGGAGAAUAGAGCGCCCCUCUGAAACUGGCCCUGAAGCGCGCACACACCGCCCGUCACUCUCCCCUACAUAUAGUAAUAGACAUAACUAAAGAGUAACUUCAAUAAAGGGGAGGCAAGUCGUAACAUGGUAAGUGUACCGGAAGGUGCACUUGGAGAAAC
rnacentral:rRNA from 1 species